AACGAACGCUGGCGGCAUGCCUAACACAUGCAAGUCGAACGAGACCUUCGGGUCUAGUGGCGCACGGGUGCGUAACGCGUGGGAACCUGCCCUUAGGUUCGGAAUAACUCCCCGAAAGGGGUGCUAAUACCGGAUAAUGUCUUCGGACCAAAGAUUUAUCGCCUUUGGAUGGGCCCGCGUUGGAUUAGCUAGUUGGUAGGGUAAAAGCCUACCAAGGCGACGAUCCAUAGCUGGUCUGAGAGGAUGAUCAGCCACACUGGGACUGAGACACGGACCAGACUCCUACGGGAGGCAGCAGUGGGGAAUAUUGGACAAUGGGCGAAAGCCUGAUCCAGCAAUGCCGCGUGAGUGAUGAAGGCCUUAGGGUUGUAAAGCUCUUUUACCCGGGAUGAUAAUGACAGUACCGGGAGAAUAAGCUCCGGCUAACUCCGUG
rnacentral:rRNA from 1 species